rnacentral:rRNA from 1 species
CACUGGGACUGAUUGACACGGCCCAGACUCCUACGGGAGGCAGCAGUGGGGAAUUUUCCGCAAUGGGCGAAAGCCUGACGGAGCAAGACCGCGUGGGGGAAGAAGGCUCUUGGGUUGUAAACCCCUUUUCUCUGGGAAGAACAAAAUGACGGUACCAGAGGAAUCAGCAUCGGCUAACUCCGUGCCAGCAGCCGCGGUAAGACGGAGGAUGCAAGCGUUAUCCGGAAUGAUUGGGCGUAAAGCGUCCGUAGGUGGCAGUUCAAUUGUCUGCUGUCAAAGACCGGGGCUCAACCUCGGAAAGGCAGUGGAAACUGAACAGCUAGAGUAUGGUAGGGGCAAAGGAAUUCCUGGUGUAGCGGUGAAAUGCGUAGAGAUCAGGAAGAACAUCGGUGGCGAAGGCGCUUUGCUGGACCAUAACUGACACUGAGGGACGAAAGCUAGGGGAGCGAAUGGGAUUAGAUACCCCAGUAGUCCUAGCCGUAAACGAUGGAUACUAGGUGUUGUCUGUAUCGACCCGGACAGUGCCGUAGCUAACGCGUUAAGUAUCCCGCCUGGGGAGUACGCACGCAAGUGUGAAACUCAAAGGAAUUGACGGGG